UACGUAGGGUGCAAGCGUUGUCCGGAAUUAUUGGGCGUAAAGAGCUCGUAGGCGGUCUGUCGCGUCUGCUGUGAAAAUCCAGGGCUUAACCCUGGACCUGCAUUCGAUACGGGCAGACUAGAGUUCGGUAGGGGAGACUGGAAUUCCUGGUGUAGCGGUGAAAUGCGCAGAUAUCAGGAGGAACACCGGUGGCGAAGGCGGGUCUCUGGGCCGAUACUGACGCUGGAGGAGCGAAAGUGCGUGGGGAGCGAA
rnacentral:rRNA from 1 species